AGCUGGUGUGAGUAAGUGGAGGCGGGGCUAAUUCGCAUAUUCAUUGCUCCGCGUAUACUAAAUGAAGCAAGGGUGUAGAGUUACAUUCAAGCUAUUUUAAGGCAUGAAGAAAUUUUUUUUCACAAGUCAUUUCGGUGAUCAAAGAUGAGUUUUAAGGGAUAAAAUUAUUGAUUACAGGGGGACUAAGUAUAACAGUUAGCUAUCAGUCUGCAUAUCAAUUAUGGUGCAUUUAAAUGUAGAAGAUUUGUAUAAAAUUCUUUAUUUACAACAUGGAUGCUAUUCAAACAACAGUACCAGUUUAAAAUGCUUAAAACAAUUAUUUGGAAUCUGAAUGCAGAAGUACCGUUCAGAUCACAGCCCUUGUGUUCAUUAGUGUGAGGCUAGCUUGCCGUCUAAUGUACCUUCAAGGCUGGCUGUACUGAAGUGUUUCUCAUGCAGCGCGAGGGCAACUACAUUCCAUCUUUAAUCAAUAGGCUCUGCAGAGGUCUUCAGCUCCCUUUGAAGCAAAGGCCUGGAUCUGGUUUCCUAAUCACCCCCACCCUUUUUCCUUUCCAAUACAAUGAAGCUGUUUUCACAAACUACAUAUAAGACGAGAGCAGAGGCUUACAGAGGGAGAACAGAAAAUGCAAUUUCAGGCAGAAACCAAAGAGUAAGAGACAGUUUCGUUUCAAAAUCACUUUCAAUUACAUUAAAAUGAUGAUACAAAAACAAGUCUUAAAAUAUCUCGCUGUGCCACAGACCCUCAGCCAAUGACACAAGGGUUUACUGUCAGUGCAGCCAGAAGUUCUCCAAUCACAGAGCCUGAGGAGUGUUAGUGAGACCAAAAGGCACAAUGUGAAAAGGAAAGAGCAGGCUAGAGCAAGCUAAGUGUUCUUAAUUGUUAACGCUUGUUUUUGUGGGAGCAGAAAGAAUGGAAAACAGAAAAGCAGAACAUUGAUCAGGCAAGAGGUGAGCACUAAACAAACCCAGCAUGAGCAACAACUCACCACAGCGCAGCGUCGAUGGGCUGACUUCAGACAAACCUCCUUACACCCUGCUCGGCCUCAGACAAUUUGAAGAUCUCUAAACCUGCGGACAUUCAGACAUGUUGCUAGGCAACCUACUCACGCUACACUGCAGGGGAACAUGUGAGGGACGUAACAGCAGAUCUGGUGCAGGUUCAUUUCAGGGAACCUUGAUCUACUAUUUACAUGCAUUUCUUCUCACAGUUAAAGCUUUAAAUUGAAUAAGGGGAAUGGACUAAAGCAGAAUUUUUUAUUUGUUUAGCAGCUGGCCAUCUACUUCCUGAGGUACAGGAAGGCCAAAGGACAAUUAGCUGGUGAAGAAUGACGUCAAUUACCAUGGAGAUUCUUCUCUGGUCCAAAACAGUCAGAUAAUAGGAUUUUUUCUCCCCUCUGAAGCCAACAUCCUGAGUCAGCAUGAGGUGAAAAUUCACCCUCUCUAUUUUCUAAACGCAUGUUAAAGAUCUUGUCGUGACCAAUUCAUCCAUGCAUUUUUUAAAUUUAAAAAAAAAAUUGUUUUGACCUCAAUGUCUAAUCAAAAUGUCAUAACUGGAGAAAAAUACAAACUUAUCUCUGGUGACAUAUGCAGAACGUCUUCAAUCUUUUAGUCUACUUAAACCCACCCCUUCAAGCUCACAUCCAUCUACCUCCACUUUUGAGUCCAAUGCCUACAUCUCAAAAUCCAAUCAACAACCGAUGCACAGAACCAAGUCCCCACCCUACAUUUUUUUUUUCCCCAUUUCGGACAAUCCAUUAAACUCUGAUACAUGUCACAAUACGGAAGAAAACAUCUAGCGCUACUUUGGUUUCAUCGCAACCUUAAAGACAACAGGAUGACUAAGGCUGUUUACACCAUGAGCAUUAACGGUCUGUUGAAUUCUGAGAAUUAAACCAAUCAAACAUAUGUGCCAAAAUCAUAUGGAAGUGUGUUCUGGUGCCGAAUAGAGUGUUGGAACUAUGAUGCAUUUUUGCAGGCCAAAACCCGGAAGCGAGUUAGCAUUUUAGCACAUCCCGUUCCAUCGUACCGAAGUCAAUGGUUUUUUUUGAAUGGGUUUUUGGUUAAAUGGCUGAAAUAAGGUCGGUGUUUAACAAGCUCAAGGUACUUUCAUGUUUUAUUCCACGAGAUAAAAUACAUCAGUAUUACCCUACCCGUGACGCUGUUAUGUGUCUUGAAAAGGACUGUUUUGCAGCCUUGUUAUGCUUAUUAUUGCGCUCUUACAAUCAAUUCUAAUUUAAACUUUACGGGAAUAUGAUUUUAGAUAAAAAAUAAAAGAGUUGGAGGCUUAGUGAUGGUGACGCUGAAAUCGUGGGACCUUGGUGUAGCUUGUUUAUAGCAUACCUUUAGCUUUUUUGCUUCAUUUAGGCUUCAAAAGUCAUAAAAGUUGUGUUCAUCUGUGAAAAUUAUCUUGAUGGACAAAAUGUGUAACUUUGUUAAAUCACAGACCUUAUUUUUUGCGAUAAUCAAAAGCCUAUGGGAAAAUCCUAUUGGGUUUUUGUCGAGGGAACCAGCGAGGAGCUAACUGCCGAUUGGCCUACAAAGUCAUGUCAUAGUUCCACCACUCUAUUGGAACAGGAAAGAGGCUGCGAGAGUGUGAUGCAGUUGAGACAUCAGAGGACUGAAAGGAGAUGAGGGGCAAUGUGUUCUAGAGUGUCAUCAUGUGUCAUAAAACAACACAACUUCACACCCCCAACUCUCACUCAAUCAACACAGCCUUUGAAAAUAUAUUGAACACUUAAACAGGGAUAACAAAUACAACAAAUACCACCAUAUCUAAUCUACUAACCUAUGAACAGAUUUAAUACUGUUAUAAAAAGUCACAAUCAACAUAUCUUUAAAAUAAACAUGAAACACCAAUGUCAAACUAUUUUAGUGAAACAGGAAAAUGGGUGGGACUUCAUUUUAUUAAUCAGGAUUGCAUUAGAUUGUGAAAAGUGGGCAUUGCACACCAGAAUGCAACCAGACCUGACUGCAAGUUUGAGACGUUUUUUUCUUUGAAAUAGUGUGCACUGAUGACACACAUUAAUAAAAAUCUCCUAUUAGCAAAGCUUCAAUGCAAUCACUCCCCACAUUCACUGCAAUGUCCACUUUUGUUCAAAAACCAAAUGUUACCAUUUACCCUUGCUCAUUUCCUUCUUCCAAACAUGCACACUUGCUGUCACUCCCUCACAAACAAAAACACUAAGAAAAAAAGUUUCUAGAUGCCAAACACUUGCCAAAGUUUUAAAUAAGCUUGCGGUUGGGGAAAUUGUAUCAACUUUUUUUUUUUUUUAAAUGCUGGAUUUAACCGUCCAGAGCUCAACUCCCAGCCUGGUCUCUCUUAAACAUAUCUUCAGGAAUGCCAAAUACACAGCACUAAACUCACAAAAGGACUGUGUGGCCUUAAAGUAGAGGAUGGAGGAGUCGUAAGGGAAAACUCUCCAACGAUUGCUCAUGGGCGCGUGAAAGCUGAACCAGAUAGGGCAGGACAGACCUCACACCUGCUCCAGCAACAGCUGCUCUCCAUGUCUCUGACACUCCCUGUCCUUUGCUCUCGGCUACAAUCCCCUCAGCAUUGCCCAACACCUGCAACCACCCACUACCUUGGCGCCUACCUGCUGUUUCCUUCCACGUAGGUGCCAAGGCACUGUGCACACACUCAUAAAACCUGCAAACCAAACAACAUUGCAAGCUCAAAUAUCUGAGCAGAUCACUGAAUAAAGAAAAGGGCUCUACCAUAAAAGAAGUCCAUAUGACUCGUACACUAGGGCUCAAAUAUCCAACUUACCAUGGGCCACCCCCUUCCGCUAGAACCACAAAACUGAGUUGAGAGGACUACAAGAGUAGCUAAAAUGUUCAGUGAUGAAGACACGAAGCAAGGGAAGUGUUGAACUUUGUGAAUGACAGGUGUUCAAACUUUCAGAUUCUGUGCAUGCCUAGUAAUCUGUCUAAGCAAGAGCUGUCAGGUCAAAGUAAUCCAAAGGAUGUAUAGGUGUGAGCGUAGUGAGCUUUAGACCCAGCACUGGAUUACAGCACCUGUGUGCUCCCGUCCUUGACCUUAAGGAAGCCGUUGGGCCUGUUAUUGCAUCAGUCUGGAGUCAACAACAUUUUUGCCAGCUCUACUUAGCCCUCACACAUUGUUCAGAAAAGACAGUGACAUCCUCUUAAAUAUGCAAUGUGCCUGAUAUUACAGCAUACAGCACAGGGUAGAAUUAUGUAAAAUCCAGACCAAAACACACCUAGAUUCUCAGCUUGUCCCAACAUGCAAGGCCACAAUCCUAGAUACCAGGUGUUGAUUCAUGUUGGGCAUAUAUUAUCGAUGCUCUAAUUCAGCGAGGCUCUUGGAUGUGAGAAAAUUUGCAUUGAAAUUCUUUUGUGACUUAUGGCCAUCACAACCCCCAGAUUUACACAUUCUACUCAAAGGACUGUCUUCCAACUUCUGUCUAUUUUUUCAUAGCAUCUGUAUUAAUUUGGGCUGACUAGACAUCUUUUAACCUCUGUGGUUUUGCCGCUUCCUGCGUCCACACACUCGAAAUUCUGUCCUGGAGAUUCAAGCAGCUCUCCACCUCUCUGCCAGACCAUGACAUCACUCCUCCAAAGCUGCUCUAUAUUUAGCUGCUCACCCCCCGUUGAGCCUCACAACUCUAGGCCUGACUCCCUCCUCCCUCUCCUUACUGUUCUCUUUCCCUCAGAUGGCUCAUCCCUCGCCGAGAGAUGAAGGGGAGGGGAAAAGAUUGGGUGAGUUGAAAAGAGAAGGGGGGGUGGGGGGUAAGCGCACAGGAAGAUAGAGGGGAGGUGAUUGAGAUGGCAUGAGCUAUGGCACCAUAAAUAAAAGGCAACCUCCAUAAACUGGCUAGCCUCUGCAAUGCUCCCAAUCUCCCUUCUGUGCUCUCACGCAAUUUCAUCAGUCUGCACGGAUGACGGCUCGGCAUUGCAAGGCUUAGCCUGCCCAACCAAGGAACAAGAAGAGGAGGGGUAGAGCAGAAGAGUACCAAAAAGAGAAGGGGAGUGGGAAGCACAAAAAUACAACUGGCAUUUGAAAAUCCUCUUGGCACAGAAUAACAUCCUGGCUCGUGCAGCAAUUUAUUCACACAAUCACCUUGCUGCUAAAGUCAAAGUGUGGUGGUGCGGAGGAGGCGGUGCCAGAGACAGUUGGGCCGAAAUUGCCACGCUCAGCAACUGCGCACAGACAUGCUUUUUACAGCCAUUCCUCACUCUCUCAGCCAGACAGAACAAGGCUCUGCAGGUCUAAGCAAAACAUCUGGUGGAAGGUUUAGAAAUGGUUGUUCUUCAACCUCCUGGAAAACUACAGUUGCAGACGCAAGCCUUGGUCACGAAAUCUCCAGUCGGCAGCAUUCCGUGUUGUGUCCUAUCAGUCUAGAGUACUGGCCAAAUGCAACUGGGCAUACACUCAGCAGUUGGUGAUGGAAAGUCCAAAAGCCAUGCCAGAGGAAAGUGUGAUGGGGAAGGGUGGACUGGUCCAUUUUAUAAAUGUAACAUUGUUUGGGCUACAGACAGAGCUGUAGUUUUUGGGUUCAUACAGAAUUUUCACAGGUUGACAAUUGCUGUUCACACCUACUAUAUACUGGCAUUUUAAAACGGGUUGAUCAUUGUGUAUAUUUCGUGUAGAACACACAAAACCAACUCUGUCCAGUAGUUCUCUGGGCUGCCAUGACGUGGCAAUCCACAGGGUCUGAAGUGCUGUGCCUUUGCCAUGGGCUUUGGCAAAGACAGAAAAAGAGGAGGUGGUCUCACUAAAGGUCACAGCACUGGAAAAUCUCAACUGGAUGUGUCUGUGGAGCUGGAAAUGUAAUAUGGAGCAGACAGACGUGGCUUUUUAUUUCCCCUGACCACAGCGCUCCAAUGUACAGCAGCAAGAAAGACAGGAGCUCGUACAAGAGGCCACUUCAGCCUUCAAGCACACUGAUCAGUGGUGUCAGUGAAAGGCCAAUAGAGAUGGGCUAUAUGAAAGGAUGCAGUGUCUACUCAAAUGCAUCAAUCCCCUGAGUUCCCCCAAGAACUACUCCAGAAAACUAAGAAGAAUAGGAACGUUUUUGAAAUUUUUUUGGUUUCAGUUUUAAGGUGCUUUAUUGCAUGACAUGUAUUGCCAAAAACAUUCACAGUGACAAAAAAGAUGCCACUCAAACUAAAAAUGUAAUUAUAAUAAAUUAUGAAAGAGCAUUAAUAAAUUGUGCUAGAGACAAAGAAUGGAGUCCUAUCACUCACUAUUCUUCAAAUUGUUACAGACACAUGCUGUGCUGCUAGAACCAAACAGCCUGCACAUCCCCCCUGAAAUCAAACGGAUUCUAACCAACACUUGUGCAAUUCCAUACUAUUCCUGCUGUAUUUCCAUUUAGUCAUGGAGAAGCUCAGAAGUGUUAGGUCGCUAUAUUAGGUGUGUUUGUUUCAGUGGGGGCAGGUGAACAGUAGAUCGGGUUCAUCUCAUUCCAAUCACGUAGUGUGCUGAUGCUCACUUCUCUGCCCCCCAUGCAAAUUGUGCAGUCCAACAGGCUGUUGUCAAGGCAACUGCAAGUGUCCAGCCCCGUCGCAUGAGGAUAUUAAAAAAAAAAAAAACCUUCAUAAUUUCAAAA